GGUACUGCUACUAAGGGGGCUGAAGGAACGAAGAUACGAGACCUUCAACAAGCUUAGAAUCUUCCAAGUUGUUAGUGUAGCAUUUCUUGCUGGAUUGUUAUGGUGGCACACUCCAACAUCCCACAUUGAAGACAGAAUUGCAAUGGUAUUCUUCUUCGCGGUAUUCUGGGGCUUCUAUCCACUCUACAAUGCAGUUUUCACUUUUCCCCAAGAAAGAAGGAUGCUCAUUAAAGAGCGAUCAUCAGGAAUGUACAGACUCUCAUCAUAUUUUCUAGCUAAAACUGUGGGGG
rnacentral:misc_RNA from 1 species